rnacentral:rRNA from 1 species
UACGAAGGGGGCUAGCGUUGCUCGGAAUUACUGGGCGUAAAGCGCACGUAGGCGGCUUUUUAAGUCGGUGGUGAAAUCCUGGAGCUCAACUCCAGAACUGCCUUCGAUACUGAGAGUCUCGAGUCCGAGAGAGGUGAGUGGAACUGCGAGUGUAGAGGUGAAAUUCGUAGAUAUUCGCAAGAACACCAGUGGCGAAGGCGGCUCACUGGCUCGGUACUGACGCUGAGGUGCGAAAGCGUGGGGAGCAAACAGG